UACAAUGAGUUCUUUGAUUUACCUGAUACGGGCGCUUAAAAUUGAACCCUGGUCCUCUGGGAGAGCAGUUAGACACACUUCACUUCUAGGCCACCUCUCCAGCCCCUGUUUGGAGUUUUUAAUUGGCAUCUCUCCUCCUGCCUGAAUUCUCCAUCAGACACUGCUUCAGGAGAAUUAUGCAUGGCCACACUUGACGGGCUUUCGAAGGGCCUCCUCAGUAGAAGACUGUGUAUUUCGCUUGCCCACACACACACUGGAUGAUCUGAGGCUAGGAGUGUCUUCUGUUUUAGCCUGGGCUGACCUGGGCCUUGAGCACCAAACCCUCAGAGAUGGGACAAACUUUGCAAGAAUGGAACCCCUUGGAAUCGGCCUGCGUAUGACCGUGAGCUUGGAGUCCUGCCCAUGUCAGGUCACGGCAGGGAAAGCAUAGAUGCUUCUUGCGUCAGCCACUGAGACUUUGAGGUGGUUGGUAACACUCCAAGCAAACAGACUAAUCCGAAAGUAAGGCCGGUCUUGCUUUUGUUUUUAUUGAGUUAACAUUCACUCUUCAUCUUCGUUUCGUGGAUGGUCUUCUUGAGGGAAAUAGUAAUGCGUCUCUGACCUUUUCCCAUCCUCAGCACGUUUCUGGGGCAUCUCCCAGCAUGCCAGUUGCGUAAUGCAAAAAGCUGGGCAGCCUCUAUCUCACAUCCGCCUGACAGGAAAAUAAAUUAGAACCACGAUACUCCCUCCCCUGCCAAAGUCCCAGGGAAGCCCUGAGGCUGCACAGAAAAUGGGUGGCCUUUGUCACGAGCCAAACCAGACCGCUAGCUCCAUGUAGAAUCUGAGAAUUUUAAAGAUUUUUUUUUUAAUCAAGAUUGCCCCUCAGUGAAGACCCUGUUCCCACACAAUUUAGCUCAAACGGUUUUUUUUUAAACUAGCAAACAAUUCAUGUGACAUUGUCCCCACUGCCCUCCAGGUGGCAGUAGAGAACCGCUGCCUGCCCAGCACACUGACGUCACCUUGUUUACCCGGUUUCGGGUCAUUUUUAGAUCUAAGAUCACAGGAUGUUAAUCAGGCCAAUGAUUUCCCAUUCGUUUGGCCAAAGGCCCUUGUCAUGGGCAUUGGGACAAGUAUGAUGUCCUUUUAGAUAAAGACAUUUUGCUGCGGGAAGUACUUAUUUGAAAACAUUUGUAAUUUCAUCUUUAGGAGAUGGGGAAAUUGUGCAUGGAUCUGUACUGUGGCCAUUUGGGGUCACUUUCAUUUUGGAGCUGGAAUGUGAGUGGCCUUAACUGAAGAGAGGCAGAAAACUACAUAUUACAAUAGCAAGUCUUCUCAGACUUCUCAGCAGGCGUCUUUCUGCUUCGUCUUCCCCUUUAUUUAUAUAGGAUUCAGCAAGAAAGCAUUUAGGUUUUGAAAUUUGGAGGGAAAGGGAUAAGAGCUAAUUUAGUCUAGCUGUCUCCUGAUUCCUGAUUCUCCUGAUGCCACCCCGGAGUUUAGGUGUCAGGAGGUCCUUGCAGGCCGCACCCAGGAGCCUCAGGCUGUCGGUUUCCUACAAUGUGGCUGAGAGUUUCUCUGUGACUGUUAAAGAACCAAAAUAAACAAAAUUCCUCAGA